CAGGCACCUGCGAAACCAGGCACUCGCAGAACCGGACAGUGGGAGCAGUCAGCGCUGACAGCCAGAGCUACCAUUUCGUGCAGACUCCGCGGGCGGCGAUGAGGGUUAGCUGAGAGUGUGUCUUCAUCUAGCGUGAGAAGGACACUAACAUUACUUGAAGAAAUGGAGAUAGACCCUUUCACUGAAACUCAAUAUACUGUGACAAAUUCCACUAACACUGUCAACCAACUUUUGUACAUACUUUUUUCUCUUUGAUUUUUGUGUGCUUUAAUAGGUACUUUACAAAAGCAUUCGUAACUUCAUCUGUAAUACAUGAAAAUCGAAACUGACAACAUUUCGAAAAGAAAACUUCUUAGGAAAUAUCAACACGUAUAAUAUUGCUCCACUACAAGUAGUCUGGCAUCUGCUUCAUGGAAACAUGGCCAUGAUUAAGAGUGUUUUUUUGAAUGUAGUCUAAUAAAUAUAGCAUUUCAAGGCAAUGAGAAAUGAAUGGAAUAUUCCAAACAGCAAGUCAUUCCCAACAGUUUGGAAUAGUCUUAGGUACAUAGUUCACACAGGGUAUAAUUCACAGGGAUUCAAGAUUUGAAAUGUGUAAAAUAAACCACUAGGAAAAUAAAGGUGACAAGGUGUGACACCAAAAAAAAAACCCAUAAAUUUAGUAUCCGAUGCGUUUUAGUAUUAGCAA